rnacentral:rRNA from 1 species
UCCAGACUCCUACGGGAGGCAGCAGUGGGGAAUAUUGGGCAAUGGGCGCAAGCCUGACCCAGCAACGCCGCGUGAAGGAAGAAGGCUUUCGGGUUGUAAACUUCUUUUGUCAGGGACGAAGCAAGUGACGGUACCUGACGAAUAAGCCACGGCUAACUACGUGCCAGCAGCCGCGGUAAUACGUAGGUGGCAAGCGUUAUCCGGAUUUACUGGGUGUAAAGGGCGUGUAGGCGGGAAUGCAAGUCAGAUGUGAAAACCACGGGCUCAACCCGUGGCCUGCAUUUGAAACUGUAGUUCUUGAGUACUGGAGAGGCAGACGGAAUUCCUUGUGUAGCGGUGAAAUGCGUAGAUAUUAGGAGGAACGCCAGUGGCGAAGGCGGUCUGCUGGGCAGCAACUGACGCUGAGGCGCGAAAGCGUGGGGAGCAAACAGGAUUAGAUACCCCUGUA